GAAGGGCACAGGCCCACGGCCUUCUGCUGUGCUGUCUUUGCAAAGGCUUCUCAGAUUCUCCGUCUGACUGUGGUGCAGGGUGAUCGUGAUGUUCCUUUUCAAACUUACUAAUGAUGCUCUUUAGUUGUCUCUGAGACAGAAGGUUUACUGAACGAGCUGGAACAAAUGCUACAGCAAGCACUGGAGCCGACAGCAGCACCUGAGAAGUCAGAACAAGAACACAGAGAAGAAAUAAAUCCAGGAGAAAAGUUACAUAAAUGCUACCCUGAAGUUUCUGCAGGCAAUCCAUUUCAAGACCAUCCUGAAGAAGACUAUCUUGUCAUUGAUGGGGUAAAAUUAAAAGCUGGAGAAUGUAUUGAGAAUAUAACUAACAAGUUUAAAGAAAUAGAUGCUUUGAUGUCUGAAUUUUAGGGCACUAUAGAGAUUUCAAAAGUUAAUUCAGAAAACAUUGGCAUAUUUAUAUUUUUCCUGAAGUCAAAC
rnacentral:lncRNA from 1 species